UACAGAGGUGGCAAGCGUUGUUCGGAAUUACUGGGCGUAAAGGGCGCGUAGGCGGUCAGCACAAGUCAGUUGUGAAAUCUCCGGGCUUAACUCGGAAAGGUCAACUGAUACUGUGCGACUAGAGUGCGGAAGGGGCAACUGGAAUUCUCGGUGUAGCGGUGAAAUGCGUAGAUAUCGAGAGGAACACCUGCGGCGAAGGCGGGUUGCUGGGCCGACACUGACGCUGAUGCGCGAAAGCCAGGGGGGCGAACGGG
rnacentral:rRNA from 1 species